UUGUAGUGGAACGACAGCAACAAAAAAAGCCCCUGACUCGUGGGAGAGAAAAGAAAGAGGCGUUUUUCACGCGCGUCCAUGUGAAGAGACCACCAAACAGGCUUUGUAUCUCCAAAGAAAGAGCAGCAAAUGUGGAGCAAACUCAAAACGACCCUGAGCUCCAGUCAUCCAUGUAAAUGGCUACACAAGCAACAUGUUAGCACCUCUUCUCCCCACUACCCAAUGUUGAGCUGAGUCCGCUCAGAGAGGUUGCUCUGGCAUUUCCGCUCCAGACCAUCAAACUUUAAAGCAUCAUGAAGACCCCGAGCCAAGCCUGGAAAAGUGUGUCCUUUCUGGUCCAGCACCUGCCUGUGUGCUCACCUCCAUAAACUGCUGACUUCUAAGAGCUACUCACAGAGUGU